CUAAGUAUAAGUCUAUUAGCUAAUAUUGCAUCGAAUUUAGCUUAAUAUAUAUGUGUGUCUCUAUAUAUAUAUUAAAAUGAAUUAAAUCUUAAAUUUAUACUACACAUGUACAUAAUUUUAAAUUGAAAUAAAAUUAUUUUAAUAAAUCCUAAAGUUAAUUUUUUUUUCAAAACGAUAACCAAAGAUGGUCGCCAUUUUGGUCAAACGGUCAAACCUUGGUGACUAACAUUGGUCGCUAUUUUGAAAAAAAAGUCAAAAAUAAUUUGCUACCAAAAUAGUGACGCAGUAGCAAAAACGGGUUUCAGGUCCCAUUCUUUCAAAAAUAUUUCCCAAAAAUAUUUCUUCUCUCUCUCACACUCAUACCCCCCUCCCUCCGACUCCCAGCAGCAUUGACCCCCCUCCCCCCCGCCACCGCCGACCGUUGGCGGCAGCAGCACAAACUCUGGCGACCUCCACUCCAAAGGUUAGUUUCUCUCUCAUUUCUUUGUUUUUUCCGAAAAACAAUGAUUUUAGGGUUCAAAUAGGGUUCAAAGUUAUAUAUUAUUUGUUCAAAGUACCCUCUUCUGUUGUGCCUAUGCCUAUUCCACAGCCUCUACCCCUGGGCUAUUUUGAGCUGCCACAGCAUGUCACGCCCUACACCUUCAUGCAGACCUCGGGUAUUUUGUAUUCAAAGUAACCUCUUCUGUUCUGCCUAUGCCUAUUCCACAGCCUCUACCCCAGGGCUAUUUUGAGCUGCCACAGCAUGUCACGCCCUAGACCUUCAUGCAGACCUCCGGUAUUUUGUCACAGCGCCAUAGGACUAUGCGCCCGACAUACAGUCCAACGGCCUCACUACCAGGGAGACAACAACCAGCAGCAUCACUUGGAUUGCAUCGAUCCAUGUCACAGCCACAUGGAUCACAACCAUCAGUGUCAAAGCCAAUUGGGUCACAGCAAUUAGUGUCAUAACCACUUGCGAUCCAUGCAGCUAUGUCACAGUCACAGGGCUCACAUCUAUCUUCAUAACGGACAACACUUAUUGGAGGCCUUCGCCUGCGGGAUAGUAGCUCUGACCCCCUACUCCUUCCACACAUGCCUCUGAUGUACAUGUUUCGGAUGAUGAUGCUGAUGUUGCUGCUGACGAGGAGGUGCAUUAUGAUCAGUAUGGCAGGAUAAUCAUAGUCCCUAAGGGUGAUGGGUAAGAGUUAUUUGUUAUUUCUAUGUUUAUUUGGUUUGUACAGUUUUUACUAAGAUAUUAACUUGUUUUAUUUAUUAAAUUGCAGGUUCAUCCCGAGUGAUAUUAUUACGAGGAUAAUCACUAGAGAAACCAGAAAGCUUUAUGACGCAUGUUAUGCGUCUUGGAAUAUUAUUGCGAGGAUAAUCACUAGAGCAACCAGAAAGCAUUAUGAAGCAUGUUAUGCGUCUUGGCAUGAAUUCUCAUUCUCACAGAAGGAGGCAAUUUUCAAUGAAUUUAAGGUAUAAAUAUUCUGUUAAGCAGCAUAAUUAUUUAUAUUUAUGAUAUUUUCCAUAUAAUGUUUAACUUUUGAAAUACAGAGCAAGUGUGUAUGAGAACACCAGGAUAGCGCGGACGUGGCUACAAAUUUUCAUCUGAAACAUCGCAAGCGGUUGUCUCAUAUUUUCUCCAAAGCUAGACAGAUGAACCAGAAGCCUGACUGGUUGCUUCAGAUCUUUUGGGAUGAUUUUCAAAUGCAAUGAUUUACUGCAGAUUUCUUAGAGAAGAACAAAAAAGGAAAGAAAGCUCGCGCAUCUGAGAAGGUAAGAUCCUUGCACACUAGAGGUGCAGUCAUCCUAGGGACAACAAAAAGAAGAAUGAUACAUAAUUGCUUAAUUUAUUUUAAUUUUAAAAGCAUAUCAAUUCUAUUAAUUAAUUAAAAUUUAUGAGUUUUUAGGAAAAGAAGUUGGGUCGUCCGAUGAACCAAGAUGAGCUAUUCAAAGAGACUCAUAUUGUGAAGAAGAAGAAAGAGACAUAUCAAGAAAGAUGGGUCUAGGGGCGAGCCUCGGCUAUACAUGUAAGUUUUCACUUUUCAGAAAAUCUCCUAGCUUCUGGAUAUUUUCCGAUUCCCCGCUCUCGGCCAUUAUCGGUAGAGGCUAGCCGUCCCCAUGGUCGUUCUCCCGUCCCCCAAGUGGUCGUUCCUCCCGUUCUCUCCGUGAUCAUUCUUCUCAUCAUCGACAAGUAGACCCUUCUCUAUGCCGUCAUGAUGAUGAAAGUUCAUCAGACGGUGAUGAUAAUUAUGUACCAAACAUUGAUACUUUUAGCCAAUUUUAACAACACAAAUACAGUCAUUUUUGAUUGGGUUGUAAUAAGAGUAGUUAACUUAGUUUGGUAGUUCUAUUGUACUUUACACUUUUUUGCUUUUAAUGUUGUUUUUGUGUUGUCGUUGUUGUUGUUGUUGGGUUGUUGUUUGGUGUUGUUGUUGGAAUUAUAGUUAGAAUUGUUGUUGUUGUUGCUUGGUAUUGUUGUUGGCAUAAAAUUUCUAUUUAAGACAAUUAAUAACCUAGCAGGUGGUGUAGCUGCCAACAGGCAUUUGCUGCCAAAAAUAUACCAAUAAAAGCGACCAAAUUUGGUCACUAUUCCAAUUAAAAAAUCAUUUCUUAAUUAAUAACCUGGCAGGUGGUGUAGCUGCCAACAGGCAUUUGCUGCAAAAAAUAUACCAAUAAGCGACCAGCGUUGGUCAUCAUUGAACCAAGAUUUCUUAAAAAGCGACAAAAUUUGGUCACUAUUCUAUUUAAAAAACCAUUUAUAGAAACAUAGCGACCAAAGAUGGUCGCUUAGGAUUUAAAUAGAAUCAUUUCUUGUAGUUAUUGACCAACUUUGGCCGCUUAUUUUAAAUAAAAAAUAAAAAAAUCAAUAAUAAAGACACAAACAUUGGUCUCCAAUAUCCAUAUUUAAUAAAAUAAUAUUUUUCUUAGAGACCAAAGUAGAUCGCUUCUUUUUCAUUUUUAAUAAAUAAAUAAUAUAAUUUAAAUCUGGAAACGAACUUCUGUCGCCAAAAUUAUAUUAUUAAAAUAAUAAAGCGACCAAAGUGGGUCGUUUCUUUCUUUACCCGGAAUAUUAGGUUCUUUGACCUUAAAGACCAAAGUUGGUCGCUAACUGGCGAUCAACUUUGCUCCCUAAGAUAAAGGGACCAGCUUAAUAUUGACCAGGCCUGUUUGAUCGCUUUUUGGCGAAUAAGCGACCAAGGUUGGUCGCUUUUUGUGGUCGCCAUUUAGCAGAUUGCUAGUAGUGUUAGUUUCACAAGGAGUAGCAUAAUAUGGUUGGGAAUUAUGAUUUUGAUUUUAAUUACUUGAUGGCUUGUAACCAUUUACAUAAUUUCAAGGCCCAAGAAAAUUUUUAAUGCUUUAUUAUUUUUAACCUUAACAUAUAAAUAUUUUUUACAUAUAAAUUUAUUCGCUACGGAUCAGUAUAUUUUUAAUUUAUUUAUAUAAACAAAAAAAUUUACCCCAAUUAUCGGUACAAUUGUUGAUUUAUAUAAUGACCUACGGUUUUAUUAAAAGAAAAUUAAAAGUCGGUUCGACUGUAAAGUCAUUUACAUAAUUAGGCGACUUAUUAGGUAUAAUUAAAGGUAAUCUAUUGAUAAACAUUGACUGGUAAUUUUAAAAUAAUAUUUUAUAUAAACUGAAAAAUUUACCCCAAUUAUCGGUACAAUUGUUGAUUUAUAUAAUGACAUACGGUUUUAUUAAAAGAAAAUUAAAAGUCGGUUCGACUGUAAAGUCAUUUACAUAAUUAGGCGACUUAUUAGGUAUAAUUAAAGGUAAUCUAUUGAUAAACAUUGACUGGUAAUUUUAAAAUAAUAUACCCUGACUUCUAAUAUGCUAGCGCACAUUAAAUUCAUUAUACUCUAAUAGUACAAUUAAAAAGAAUUCUUACACUAUCACAAUAAUAACUUAAAUCGGUACAAUAUAUACCUCCCCUAUCGUCUUAGGCAUGUGAUAGAUCGUAGAUUAGUUUGAGCCAAACUGAGUAUGCCUAACAUAUUAAUGUCUGAUGUUAGUCAAGGUUUUGAUCGCUUCUCUUUCAUUAGUAAUAAAUAAAUAAAUUAUAUAGAUACGAUGAACUACGGGUUCAAUUCCCGAAAGAUUCUCAAGACAUUGAUAUGAUGACGAUGAACUACGGGUUCAAUUCCCGGAAGAUUCUCAAGACAUUGAUAUGAUGAACUUUGGGUUCGAUUUCCGGAAGAUCCUCCAGAUAUUCAAAUGUGAUUGACUACGGGUUAGAUUCCCGAGAAAUUCACUAGACAGUUGAGGAAAAAGGACUACAGGAUGGUAUCAUGGGAGGUUCACAUGGCACCAUAUGUACAUAAUUUUAUAUUGAAAUAAAAUUAUUUUAAUAAAUCCUAAAGUUAAUUUUUUUUCAAAACGAUGACCAAAGAUGGUCGCCAUUUUGGUCAAACGGUCAAACCUUGGUGACCAACAUUGGUCGCUAUUUUGAAAAAAAAGUCAAAAUUAAUUUGCUACCAAAAUAGUGACCAAAAUUGGUCACUAUUUUUUUAGCAGUAGCAAAAACGGGUUUCAGGUCCCAUUCUUUCAAAAAAAUUUCCCAAAAAUAUUUCUUCUCUCUCUCACACUCAUACCCCCCCUCCCUCCGACUCCCAGCAGCAUUGACCCCCCUCCCCCCCGCCACCGCCGACCGUUGGCGGCAGCAGCACAAACUCUGGCGAC
rnacentral:lncRNA from 1 species